rnacentral:rRNA from 1 species
AGCGAACGCUGGCGGCAGGCUUAACACAUGCAAGUCGAGCGGGCAUCCUUGUGGUGUCAGCGGCAGACGGGUGAGUAACGCGUGGGAACGUGCCCUUCGGUUCGGAAUAACUCAGGGAAACUUGAGCUAAUACCGGAUACGUGCGAGAGCAGAAAGGUUUAUCUGCCGAAGGAUCGGCCCGCGUCUGAUUAGCUAGUUGGUGAGGUUAUGGCUCACCAAGGCGACGAUCAGUAGCUGGUCUGAGAGGAUGAUCAGCCACACUGGGACUGGGACACGGCCCAGACUCCUACGGGAGGCAGCAGUGGGGAAUAUUGGACAAUGGGGGCAACCCUGAUCCAGCCAUGCCGGGUGAGUGAUGACGGCCUUAGGGUUGUAAAGCUCUUUUCUCCGGGACGAUAAUGACGGUACCGGAGGAAUAAGCCCCGGCUAACUUCGUG